rnacentral:rRNA from 1 species
AUUGAACGCUGGCGGCAUGCUUUACACAUGCAAGUCGAACGGUAACAGGCCGCAAGGUGCUGACGAGUGGCGAACGGGUGAGUAAUGCAUCGGAACGUGCCCAGUCGUGGGGGAUAACGCAGCGAAAGCUGCGCUAAUGCCGCAUACGAUCUAUGGAUGAAAGCGGGGGACCGUAAGGCCUCGCGCGAUUGGAGCGGCCGAUGUCAGAUUAGGUAGUUGGUGGGGUAAAGGCUCACCAAGCCAACGAUCUGUAGCUGGUCUGAGAGGACGACCAGCCACACUGGGACUGAGACACGGCCCAGACUCCUACGGGAGGCAGCAGUGGGGAAUUUUGGACAAUGGGCGCAAGCCUGAUCCAGCAAUGCCGCGUGCAGGAAGAAGGCCUUCGGGUUGUAAACUGCUUUUGUACGGAACGAAACGGUCCUGGUUAAUACCUGGGGCUAAUGACGGUACCGUAAGAAUAAGCACCGGCUAACUACGUGCCAGCAGCCGCCGUAAAAC